GGCUGGGUGCGUGGGGUGGGGGAAGGUCACCUCUUCGGCCUCUCUGGGCCCUCCAGCCUCUUCCUGAGAGGAGCUCGCCUCGGCCCCUUGGUUGGGGGGAUGGGAGCGUCUCCGGAAGGCCCUCGGCCGAGCAGCUGGGCCUGCACCCCUGGUCCCUUCCAGUUCGUUUCUGCUGCGGCGGCAAGAGGCUGGGGAGCCGAUGACUCACCCUGCCGGCUAAUUGCAGCGUUAAAUAACUUUGCGCCGGAUUCGGUGGCUGCAGCAGGGAACGCGCUCCGGGCGCCGGGGGAGGUGGAGGGACGCCCUGAGAACGCACCUCCGUCCCUGUCACCAGCCUUAGCAAGUUCUGGCCUGUGGAGCCGUCAUCCAGAGCGCACAGCUUCAUGCCCUUGAAGGGCGCAGUGUGUCCCGUGGUGCCCGGUGGGCCCGGACAGAGACCCCAGAGGCUCUGUCUGAAGGAAGCUGCACCCACAGACUCCAUCCAGGCAGCGCGGGCGCGGUCCUGUCGCCUACCUUUCUCGGAAGCCAUCUGCCCAUGUGAAUCUAUGUGAAGGCCCUUCAUGCGCUCCUGGACAUCUGCGUGGGAUUUACUUCAACUGCUAUCGCUGCGAGGAGGACGAGCAUGUUUCACUGUAUUUUUAGCAGAGAGUGCAGAUUUUAGAACCUCGCGAACGGUCCUGUAUCUCCUGCACGAUGACUCUCCAGAACAGGAAUAGUGACCCUUCCUUUGCAUUUAUGGUGCAUAGGUUUUCAAAGGACAGUGUGUAAAUCAGCUUGUGUAAUAAUUGUGGCACCCACGCGCGCAAGCAGACUUACCAUGAGCUGACUUCCACUGAUUAUUUCAGUUUCCAGGGAAACGAGGUUUGCAGCCCCCUCCAGUGAGGGCGGAGCGGCCUCUCCAUUCCCAAUGCAGCAAGGCUGCUGCAGCCACGAUGAUUAGGCUUUGGAGGAGGAAGUGAACGGAUGGGGCCUCAUCCUCCUGCCUCCCUAAAGGGUGAGGGUGGAAGGAUGGGGCUGUGCCCUCUUAGGGCAGGGAAAAACAGCUUGGAGGGGUUUCUGCCAUCAGAGAUCCCAUAGGAGGCAGGUCAGUCCUGCAGAAUUUCUCCCCAGUCUGGCCUCCAGCCUCCCUGGCCCCUUUCUAGAGGCCUCCAUCCCACUGGCGGCUUGCUCCUGCCACCGGGCCUCUGCACAGUCACCUCCUGCAGCCUGGGGUGUGUCGCCUCUCCACGUCCUCACCGGCGUCUGCCUUUGCAUUUCCCAGAUGCUCGCUUCACCCCACUGAGAUGUAACUCAGUUUUGUGGGAUCCCACUGCCCUCCAGGUGCCGCUCCGAGUGCUCUACACAGAUUUUCAUUCAGUCCUUGCGGCACACGAAGAGUGGCUGUACCAUUUUGCAUUCCCAGACCGAAGUGUGAAAGCUCCAGAUGCCCCACGCCCUCACCAGCCCACGGUGUUGUCAGCCUUAAUAGUGCUGACCAUUCUGCCUGUUAAUAUGAUGAAUUACACUGAUUCAGUUUCAAAUGUCCAACCAAGCUUGCACUCCAGAGAUGAAGCCCACUUGAUCACAUGGAUUAUUCUUUUAAUAUAUGAUGGAUACGACUUGGCUGUUCUUUUGUUGAGGAUUUUUGUGUUUAUGUUAAUGAGGAUAUUAUUUGUAGUUUUCUUUUCUUGUAAUGUUUUUGUCUUUGUUCAGUGUCAGAGUAAUGCCAACUUCAUAAAGUGAGCUGGGAAGUACUCCCUCAUUUUCUGUUUUCUGUGAAAGAAUUGUAUAGAAUUGAUGUUAUUUCUUCCUUAAGUGUUGAGUAGAAUUCACUUGCAAAGCCAUCUGAGGUUGACAUCUUCUUUGGGAAUGACUUUAGCUAUAAAUUCAAUUUAUUUAACAGAUAUAGGGCUAUUAAGGUUAUUUAAUUUUUUUCUUGAAUGAGCUUUAGUGUCCUGUGUUUUUCAAGGAAUUUUUCCAUUUUAUUUAAGUUUUUAGAUUUGUUGGCAUAAAGUUAUCCCAAUAUUUCCUUAGAAGUUGUGACUUUUACUGCAUAUAAAACAUACCUCAAUAAAGCUAAUACAUACAUAUAUAUAUAUGAAUCAUUUCUGGCCAGGUACAGUGGCUCAUGCCUGUAAUCCCAGCACUUUGGGAGGCAGAGGCAGGUGGAUCACCUGAGAUCAGGUGUUCCAGACCAGCCUGGCCAACAUGGGAAACC
rnacentral:lncRNA from 1 species